rnacentral:lncRNA from 1 species
CAGAGGUACACUUCCGGUCUUGGGGGAUUUUCGCUGUAUAAGUAAGUUCAAUUUUACUGUUCGCAGUCUACGCAGCAAUGAAGUUCCUGGUUCUAAUUCUACUAGUGUGCAUCGCGUCGACCAUGGGCUACUUUAACAACGGACUUGGCAGGAGAGGGGGCUGUGCAACUUAUGGACAAAGGUGCAACGGAGGAUUUGGAAGGAACUGCUGCAGAGGUCGUAAUUUGGGUUGCUUCGAUGGAUACUGUUCUCGAGUUGACAGUGGUUGAACUAUUCUGUGUCAAGUUUCCUAGGAAUUUCAGCUAUUCGAACUAAUAAAUGUACUGUAAUUACAGCAAUGCAUCUAGUAAUAAAAUUUCCAAAA